GAGUGAGUGGGAACGUGCAGGCCACUGGAUAAGAGGAGUGAGUGGGAACAUGCAGGCCACUGGAUAGGAGGAGUGAGUGGGGACAUGCAGGCCACUGGAUAGGGGAGUGAGUGGGAACGUGCCGGCCACUGGAUAGGAGGAGUGAGUGGGAACUCUCAGGCCACUGGAUAGGAGGAGUGAGUGGGAACAUGCAGGCCAUCUGAUAGGAGGAGUGAUGGGAACGUGCAGGCCAUCUGAUAGGAGGAGUGAGUGGGAACAUGCAGGCCACUGGAUAGGAGGAGUGAUGGGAACGUGCAGGCCACUGGAUAGGAGGAGGAUGGGAACGUGCAGGCCACUGGAUAGGAGGAGUGAGUGGGAACAUGCAGGCCACUGGAUAGGAGGAGUGAUGGGAACAUGCAGGCCACUGGAUAGGAGGAGUGAGUGGGAACAUGCAGGCCAUCUGAUAGGAGGAGUGAUGGGAACAUGCAGGCGACUGGAUAGGAGGAGUGAGUGGGAACAUGCAGGCCACUGGAUAGGAG
ensembl:lncRNA